rnacentral:rRNA from 1 species
ACUCCUACGGGAGGCAGCAGUGGGAAUAUUGCACAAUGGGCGGAAGCCUGAUGCAGCAACGCCGCGUGCGGGAUGACGGCCUUCGGGUUGUAAACCGCUUUCGCCUGUGACGAAGCGUGAGUGACGGUAAUGGGUAAAGAAGCACCGGCUAACUACGUGCCAGUAGCCGCGGUGAUACGUAGGGUGCGAGCGUUGUCCGGAUUUAUUGGGCGUAAAGGGCUCGUAGGUGGUUGAUCGCGUCGGAAGUGUAAUCUUGGGGCUUAACCCUGAGCGUGCUUUCGAUACGGGUUGACUUGAGGAAGGUAGGGAGAAUGGAAUUCCUGGUGGAGCGGUGGAAUGCGCAGAUAUCAGGAGGAACACCAGUGGCGAAGGCGGUUCUCUGGGCCUUUCCUGACGCUGAGGAGCGAAAGCGUGGGGGAGCGAACAGGCUUAGAUACCCUGUAGGCUGUG